rnacentral:lncRNA from 1 species
AAGGAGGAGGAGGCAGAGGCGGUCUGGGCCGGGCCGGGCCUGACCCCUGCGUCCCGGGGGCACAGGCGUUCUUAAGGCUGCAGAGCCCUGGGUCCCCCACCCGGCCCCGGUUCACUUUGAGCGGUCCCAAGGCCUGAGGGCCUACUGUCCAGUCCCCAGGUUAUCGUCCUGAGCAAAGACAGACCCCGAGCCCUGCGGUCUUGGGGCUCAAACAGUCCCUGGAUGGCCAAACAAGCAAAUAUUCGCCAUGGCAGUGGGUGCUGGAAGGGUGGCUCACGGAGCUGACGCCCUCCGCAGAGAACCGUGGUCUAGUCCUGCGGUCACGAGGCCUAUCUGGGACAGUGGUGUUUGAGCUGAGACUUUAACGAAUAGAGACAGGUGAGGUUCCUGCAGCCCAGGGCUUCAGCGUGAACAACCCCAGAAGGAAAAAGAGUGCUGUUGUUAAAGGUAUCUGGCAUCAUGGACCCAACCAUCACCAGGAGUUUCUCACUUCAUCUCUGCUUUAUUGUAGUAUAAUUUGCAUACAAUAAUGGCACACAUUUAAUGUGCACAGUGUGAUAAAUUUUGACAUAUGUAUACAUCCAUGAAGCCGGCACCACAAUCAAGAUAAUGAACAUCUCGCUUACCCCAGAAGUUUCCUGUGCCCUGUCACUCCUCCGUAUUCCUCCAUCCUCAGUGAUAUUUCCCAAAACAUGUUCUCCAAGCUGUUAAUAUUCUAUGUAAAUGAAAGAAAAAGGAAGAAAGAAAAAGAAAGGAAGAAAAGAAGGAGGAAGAAAAAGAAGGGAGGGAGAAAAAAGGAAAGAAAAAGAAAAGACAAACUCGUGAGUUUGGAAAGCACUUUCAUUACAGAAAGAUUUAUCUGACUAUUAUGUUAAUAUCCAUGUGACAGUAAUAAAGAAAUCAUCUAUUGGAGAUAAAUAUAGAAUAGUUUCAAAACUUGCUUUCUCUAAAUCAGAGUGUCUGGGUUUAAGUGACCUUUCCCAAUGUUCUAUGUUCUUUGUCAAAUGACUUCGUCUCUCUGAUUUUAGUUCCCUGAUCUGCAAAAUAAGAUAAUGAUUAUGACCUCUGAAAUGGCCUGCAAUUAUCCUCUCACACUGUGUUCACACACUUGGUAGUCUCUUCCCCCAUGAGAAAGGACCGACUUUUAUAGCCCAUAGGAUGUUGCAGAGUUGUAUUCAAAGCUGAGUCAUGAAAGACACUGUAUCUCUUCCUUGCUCUCUCUUGGAUAACUUGUUCUGGAGGAAGCCAACUGCCAUGUCAUGAGGAUCCUCAAAGAGCCCAUUAGAAUGCCUACGUAGAGAAAAAGCCUUCAACUAAUAACCAGCACCAACAUGGCAGCCAUGUGAGCAAGCCAACUGGGAAGUGCACCCUGAGGACAUAAUCAAGCUCUCAGAGUACUUCAGCUAAGGCUGAUGACUUGACUGCAACUAACUGAGACAUGUUGAGCCUGAACUCCCAGUCAAGAUGCUACCAAACUCUUGGCCCAUAGAAAAGCAUGAGCCCAUAGAGAAGCCAUCCACUUUACCAGGCAUGAGUGGAAGAAACAGCAACGAAUCCUAAUACUUGCAGGAAAACUGAGUGUGUUGGAGUUUUUUAAAGAAAAAAUUCUCAGAGUUCCACAGUUGCAUUGAAAACUAAUAGACCACAGGCCGGGCACAGUGGCUCACGCGUGUAAUCCCAGCACUUUGGGAGGCCGAGGUGAGUGGAUCACAAGAGAUGAAGUCUUGCUCUGUCACCAGGCUGGAGUGCAGUGGUGUGAUCUCGGCUCAAUGCAACCUCCGCCUCCCAGGUUCAAGUGAUUCCCCUGCCUCAGUGUCCUGUGUAGCUGGGACUACAGGAGUGUGCCACCACACCCAACUAUUUUUUUUAUUGUAUUUUAGUAGAGACAGGGUUUCACCAUGUUGGCCAGAAUGGUCUCAAUCUCCUGACCUCGUGAUCCACCCACCUUGGCCUCUCAAAAUGCUGGGAUUACAGGCAUGAGCCACUGUGCCUGGCUGUGUAAUCUUAUGGGUGAAUAGCGACUGAUAUGAACAGAAUAUCUUUGAAAUUUGUAAGCCAAACUUGCAACUUUGAGGGAGAUAAAGAAACAAUUUACCAAACAAUAUGGAAAACACUGAAAUCCCCAAAGAAAGGGAAAAUUAAAUGUGGCUUUUACUAGGAAUUUACCAUAUUAACAUCCUACCUGGCACAUGAUAAGUGCCCAAUGAAUGAUAACCAAAAGAAAAAAACCAUAAUGUUAAGUGUGGUUACUGGCUCUAUUUUACAAAUAAAGAUGUUGAAACUCAAAAAAAAAAAAAAAAAA